UACGGAGGGUCCAAGCGUUAUCCGGAUUUAUUGGGUUUAAAGGGUGCGUAGGCGGCUUAUUAAGUCAGGGGUGAAAGACGGUGGCUCAACCAUCGCAGUGCCCUUGAUACUGAUGAGCUUGAAUACACUUGAGGUAGGCGGAAUGUGACAAGUAGCGGUGAAAUGCAUAGAUAUGUCACAGAACACCAAUUGCGAAGGCAGCUUACUAAGGUGCAAUUGACGCUGAGGCACGAAAGCGUGGGGAUCAAACAGG
rnacentral:rRNA from 1 species